rnacentral:rRNA from 1 species
AUUGAACGCUGGCGGCAUGCUUUACACAUGCAAGUCGAACGGCAGCGCGGGGGCAACCCUGGCGGCGAGUGGCGAACGGGUGAGUAAUGUAUCGGAACGUAUCCUGUAAUGGGGGAUAACCAGUCGAAAGAUUGGGUAAUACCGCAUACGCACGAGAGUGGAAAGUAGGGGAUCGCAAGACCUUACGUUAUAGGAGCGGCCGAUAUCUGAUUAGCUAGUUGGUGGGGUAAAGGCCUACCAAGGCGACGAUCAGUAGCUGGUCUGAGAGGAUGAUCAGCCACACUGGGACUGAGACACGGCCCAGACUCCUACGGGAGGCAGCAGUGGGAAUUUUGGACAAUGGGCGAAAGCCUGAUCCAGCCAUGCCGCGUGCGGGAAGAAGGCC